AAGUAUAAUAUUAAAAAAACAAAAAUUUUUUGAAACCUAGAGAUUUAAUAUUGAAUUGUGAUGAGUUCAUAUUGUAUAGUUAAGAUCGUUAAUGUGGUUUCAUUGAUUAACAUUUGCAAAGAUGAUUUCUACAUUUAUUACUGUAAAACAAAUUUGAUUAGGUAUAUAUAAAUUCUGCUAAGUGGGAUUUCUGUAAUUAGGAGUUUAAGUGAUAAUAUUUAUAUUGCCUUGUGUAGUCCAGUGAAUAUCUAGUGAUCACUUUUAAGUUUUAAGAAUCCAACCAUAAUUACAGCAUAAGUCAUGAAACUGUAAUUUACUCUUUUCUCCUCAAUUUUCUGUUAGUGCCUUUUCCCUUUUUGCGCAUGUUUUGGCUUCUGUCUGAAAUGUGCCGGCAAUUCUUGGUAAUGUAUUCAUUUUGUCCUGUGCUCAAAUGCUGAAUUUUUUGUGAGUGAUAUGUUACUAAUAAUUCAGAGUUUCAAUAAUGUGUAAAAAUCUGGUUGUCAUUCCACGCAAAUCAGACCACAUAGCACCUAAAAUUUUGACACUGGCUAUGUAUACAUGCUUGCUAAAGAAAUGUUUCCAGAAGCUCUUUUAUCAUCACUGAUGAGUAUAAAUGAUUCUGCAUUAAAAUAAUUAGUCCCAGGUCUCUGCACUACCUUGAAGAUACACUGUGAGGGAUUGGUUUGGCCAAUGCAGUUCUGGAAUCAUUUGCUGCCAUGCAUGUUAAACAAAGCCUUGAACUUUGUUUACAAUAGAAAAUUCUUUGCAGUUUUCUGGUCAACUGUGUGCUUAGUAAUGAGUGCCUUAAACUGUUAAAAAUUUUCAGUUUAGAAAUAAAUUGGAUCAAUUUGAACCACAUAUUUAAAACAACUGUUUUAUGAAAUAUGAAUUUAUAAAAUGUUCGUGUGAUAACCGAUACUAUGGAUCUCUAGCAUAUACCUUAAAAAUUGUUUCCAAGCCUUUUAUAUUUAAUAACUGUUGACACUUUGAGGUUUUAAAGCUGGAAAGGACAACUUCAAAGAUCAGGAUAGUGAAAUACUCUCAUUUAUUAAGGAGAUUUGGAGCAAGUUAUAUAAUUUAUAUUAAAUCUCUGUUAUCUUAUUCAUGGAACAAGUAAGUUGGUUUACAUAGAUUUGAGUUUUGAGAAUUAGUUCUUUCAUUUGGUGCCAUAGAGAUUAUCUAGCUAGAUUUUUUUUACUGUCCUUUUUACAGAUGUUGAAGCUGUCAUUUUUACCUUAUAAUCUUGAGUGAGUAUCAGGUAAAAGUUAGUAGCUUAUGACAAACCUUUAACCAGUAUGUUAGAUUCUUUAAAAAUAUAUUUUUGGAUUACCAAUAUUUAUGUUUUUUUAUUUUUAACCCCUCAAAAUUAUAUAAGAAAUCUUUUCUUUUCUGAAUAAAUUGAAAUCAAGAAAGUGAUGAGCAAUCAUUUUAAACAGAAUAUUUUUUCAGUAUUACAAAUUUAGAAGUUCCAAAUGUCUUAAAGCCCUUACUUCAUUAGAAUAUCUCAUCAGAAUUUAUUAUUGUUUGUUUGCAAAAAGUCUCAGUAGAAUUUUCAUUUUGCAGUUUUUUUCUCAAAUGUGUGCAAAUGUUAGCUAAUAGUUUGCUUUUAUCUGUACAUUCGUAACUAUUGUCCAACUUUAAUUCCUUGAAUUUCGAUAAACUUUGAGUCUUAUACAUGUUCAGAGAUGAUUGCACUGCGCACUUACUGUUUAAUAUGAAAAUACUUUUUUCAUUUGUUUGCAGUUUUAAUCUGAGAAACGUGCUUUCAGAGCUUCCUUGCACUGUUCAUGAGCAUUCACAUUUAGCUUGGCAGUUUUGUACAUACUACAUGGUUGAUGAAACUGAAUGGUUCAGUGCAGACUCAUUCAGGCAUUUACUGUACAUUUCUCCCGAGAAAAGAGUGAGAUCGUGUCAUCUCAUGCUCCCCAUCCGCAGGUCACUUCCUGUAGAAAUAUGGACUAACUUAAACCUCGUGAGUACUGAUCUGAGCCUCUCUUGCAGCCUCUAGUAUAAGAAACACACCCUGGGAUUUUAUGAUAGCUGUGGAAUUAGUAGAAGGCGGGAAAUGAACUUUUAUUUCCUGAAUUUGUGUGUGCAUUAUUGAGUAUUCCAUAAAAAUUUAAUUAUGAUCCCUUUAUAAUCCUUUUAGAAGGAAGAAUGGGGUACUUUCAGGUCAUCGUGUAAUAGCAGCGUGGGGUCUUCAGCUUGGCGGUAACAGCCUUGACCUCCAAGGAAUCUGAUAAUAGUGUAUAUACA